rnacentral:rRNA from 1 species
UACGUAGGGUGCGAGCGUUAAUCGGAAUUACUGGGCGUAAAGGGUGCGCAGGCGGCUUCGCAAGUCAGACGUGAAAACCCCGAGCUUAACUUGGGAAUUGCGUUUGAAACUACGGAGCUGGAGUGUGGCAGAGGGAGGUGGAAUUCCACGUGUAGCGGUGAAAUGCGUAGAUAUGUGGAGGAACACCGAUGGCGAAGGCAGCCUCCUGGGCCAACACUGACGCUCAUGCACGAAAGCGUGGGGAGCAAACAGG